CGUUGCGUGCGCGUGGCGUGUAGCUCGGCUGCGCGGCGUGGUCAGCAACACGAAGGCAGGGGGUUGCCGAACCAGCACGUAGAGGGCGAGCCGUAGAAGUAGGUAGAAGUUCCGUGCAGUAGGUAAACCGUACCGUGGACUCGGUAAACCGUACCGUGGACCCUGGAAUAGAUAGAAAUCCAACGCAUCAGUACACAGUUAUCAUCUAGGUUCCACAUACCGUCAUCAAAACCUACAGAAGAGCACCUAAUCUAACUUGAUUGAGGCGGCAGUGGAAACCAGAACGGAAUACCUAACAUUAAUUAAAUAAGAAAUAGUAAUAAUAAGGAAAG